rnacentral:rRNA from 1 species
UACGUAGGGUGCGAGCGUUAAUCGGAUUUACUGGGCGUAAAGCGUGCGCAGGCGGUUUGUUAAGCCAGAUGUGAAAGCCCCGGGCUCAACCUGGGAACCGCAUUUCGAACUGGCAAACUAGAGUCUUGUAGAGGGGGGUAGAAUUCCAGGUGUAGCGGUGAAAUGCGUAGAGAUCUGGAGGAAUACCGGUGGCGAAGGCGGCCCCCUGGACAAAGACUGACGCUCAGGCACGAAAGCGUGGGGAGCAAACAGG